UUUAUAAGGUCUGAAAACCGUUGUCAUGAACAAGCAUGCGCAGACACCCAACCAUCCACUGUUUUUGCCUCCAAAUAUUUUCUGUUUUAACUCUUAGUAGAGUGUGCCUGUCUUGCUCAGGUGUGAUGGCUGAGAAGCAGAGGCUCUCCCCCUCGGGCUGCUCCGGGUGCACACUGCGUAUGCUGCAUUAUGACACACUGCAGAUGUGAUCACGUGGGCUGCGUGAAGCUACUCUGCUGCCUUGGCUGCGCUGGGAGACUCAGAUGACAGUCUGAGGGGCAGGACGAAAGGGAUGGCAGGUGGGAAGUGAAGGAAAAGGAAAGG